rnacentral:tRNA from 1 species
GCCUUCGUGCUGCAAUGAUAGCACACUCGGCUGCUAUUUGAAAGGUCCAGGUUCGAGUCCCGGCGAGGACA